rnacentral:rRNA from 1 species
AUUGAACGCUGGCGGCAGGCCUAACACAUGCAAGUCGAGCGAGCGGCGGACGGGGGAGUAAUGUCUGGGAAACUGCCUGAUGGAGAGGGAUAAAUACUGGAAACGGUAGCUAAUACCGCAUACCAUCAGAUGUGCCCAGAUGGGUUUAGCUAGUAGGGGGGGGAACGGCUCACCUAGGCGACGAACCCUAGCUGGUCUGAGAGGAUGACCAGCCACACUGGAACUGAGACACGGUCCAGACUCCUACGGGAGGCAGCAGUGGGGAAUAUUGCACAAUGGGCGCAAGCAUGAUGCAGCCAUGCCGCGUGUUUGAAGAAGGCCUUCGGGUUGUAAAGCACUUUCAGCGGGGAGGCGUUACCCGCAGAAGAAGCACCGGCUAACUCCGUGCCAGCAGCCGCGGUAAUUC